UACGAAGGGGGCUAGCGUUGCUCGGAAUUACUGGGCGUAAAGGGCGCGUAGGCGGCGGCCCAAGUCAGGCGUGAAAUUCCUGGGCUCAACCUGGGGACUGCGCUUGAGACUGGGUUGCUUGAGGAUGGAAGAGGCUCGUGGAAUUCCCAGUGUAGAGGUGAAAUUCGUAGAUAUUGGGAAGAACACCGGUGGCGAAGGCGGCGAGCUGGUCCAUUACUGACGCUGAGGCGCGACAGCGUGGGGAGCAAACAGG
rnacentral:rRNA from 1 species